rnacentral:rRNA from 1 species
UACGUAGGUGGCAAGCGUUGUCCGGAUUUACUGGGCGUAAAGAGCGCGCAGGCGGUCGCUCAAGUCGCGUGUGAAAGCCCCCGGCUCAACUGAGGAGGGUCACGCGAUACUGAUCGACUCGAAGGCAGGAGAGGGUAGUGGAAUUCCCGGUGUAGUGGUGAAAUGCGUAGAUAUCGGGAGGAACACCAGUGGCGAAGGCGACUACCUGGCCUGUUUCUUGACGCUGAGGCGCGAAAGCUAGGGGAGCAAACGGG